rnacentral:ncRNA from 1 species
AAAUUAUAUAUAUAUAAAUAAAUGUUUAUAGUUUAUAUAAGUUAUGUAAAAUGUAUUUUACAUAUAAAUGUUAGUGUUAAUGUUAAAUUUAUUUUAAUAAUAAAUUAAUUGUUUUAUAGUAAUUAAUAUUAAAUUAUUUAAGAAAUUAAGAUUUAGUAAUAUUUAAAUUAAUAACAAAUUUUGUGCCAGCAGUUGCGGUUAAACAAAAAUUAAAUUAAAUUUUAUUAGUAAUUAAUUAAUAAAUUAAAUAUUAAUUUAAAUUUUAAAUUAUUAGGUGAAAUUUUAAUUUAAUAUAAUAUUAUUUAAAUUUUAUGAUUUAAUAAAAUUUAUUAAAAACUAGGAUUAGAUACCCUAUUAUUAAAAUUUUAAAUUUAAAUACUAAAAUAGUAAUUAAUUAUUUAUUGAAACUUAAAUAAUUUGGCGGUAUUUUAGUUCAUUUAGAGGAAUCUGUUUAAUAAUUGAUAAUCCACGAAUAAAUUUACUUAAUUUAUGAUUUUGUAUAUCGUUGUUAAAAAAAUAUUUUUUAAUAAAAAUAAUAUUUAAAAAUUUAUAAUUAAAAUUAAAUCAGAUCAAGAUGCAGAUUAUAAUUAAGAAUAUAAUGGAUUACAAUAAAUUUAUUUAUAUGAAUAUUAAUUUGAAAAAAUUAAUUGAAAGUGGAUUUAAAUGUAAUUUUGUUUAAUUUAAUAAAAUGAUUAUAAAUUAAAAUAUGUACAUAUUGCCCGUCGCUUUCAUAUAAAUAUUAUUUAUAUAUAACAAUAUUAUUGAAUUUAUUAAUAAGUUGAAAUAAGUCGUAACAAAGUAGAGGUACUGGAAAGUG